rnacentral:rRNA from 1 species
AUUGAACGCUGGCGGCAGGCCUAACACAUGCAAGUCGAGCGGAUGAAGGGAGCUUGCUCCUGGAUUCAGCGGAGGAAGGGUGAGUAAUGCCUAGGAAUCUGCCUGGUAGUGGGGGAUAACGUCCGGAAACGGGCGCUAAUACCGCAUACGUCCUGAGGGAGAAAGUGGGGGAUCUUCGGACCUCACGCUAUCAGAUGAGCCUAGGUCGGAUUAGCUAGUUGGUGGGGUAAAGGCCCACCAAGGCGACGAUCCGUAACUGGUCUGAGAGGAUGAUCAGUCACACUGGAACUGAGACACGGUCCAGACUCCUACGGGAGGCAGCAGUGGGGAAUAUUGGACAAUGGGCGAAAGCCUGAUCCAGCCAUGCCGCGUGUGUGAAGAAGGUCUUCGGAUUGUAAAGCACUUUAAGUUGGGAGGAAGGGCAGUAAGUUAAUACCUUGCUGUUUUGACGUUACCAACAGAAUAAGCACCGGCUAACUUCGUG